rnacentral:piRNA from 1 species
UCCCAUGAACUUCGGGUAUAUAAAGC